AGCUCUGUUGGCCUAGUGGUUAGUGCAUCCGCCUCGGAUACGGAGGUCGUGGGUUCCAUUCCCUGUUGAGUCAUACCUGAGUUA